rnacentral:lncRNA from 1 species
AGGGAAAUAAGGGAGGUAAGCAUAAAACUACUUUGUCACAUUCUUCUAGAUUACAAGCACCUAGGCCUGCAGACACCCAACAAUCCCUAUCUACAAAGCAACCUACACAUCAUCCCAUAUCUCAAACACAUACUAACUUCCCACCUUUCCUCUCUACUUCAAGUCCACAAAUGUCUACUAUCCAUGCUCCCACUUCUCAAAUACCUACAAAUACCCAACAACCCCACUCUACAAUGAAACCUACACAUCAUCUUACAUCUAAAACACCUUCAAAUAUCCAACAAUCCCUAUCUACAAAGCAGCCUACACAUCAUCCCAUAUCUCAAACACAUACAAACUUCCCACCUUUCCUCUCUACUUCAAGUCCACAAAUGUCUACUGUCCAUGCUCCCACUUCUCAAAUACCUACAAAUACCCAACAACCCCACUCUACAAGGAAACCUACACAUCAUCUUACAUCUAAAACACCUUCAAAUAUCCAACAAUCCCUAUUUACAAAGCAACCUACACAUCAUCCCUCUCAAAAAAAUACAAACUUCCCACCUUUCCUCUCUACUUCAAGUCCACAAAUGUCUACUGUCCAUGCUCCCACUUCUCAAAUACCUACAAAUACCCAACAACCCCACUCUACAAGGAAACCUACACAUCAUCUUACAUCUAACACACCUUCAAAUAUCCAACUUCCACAACCUACAAGGCAACUGAAACAUCAUCCCAUAUCUCAAACAUUUACAAAUUUCCCACCUUUCCUCUCUACUCCAAGUCCACAAAUGUCUACAAUUCAUGCUCCCACCUCUCAAAUACCUACAUAUAUCCAAUCUCCCCACUCUACUCCUAGUCCACCACAUCUUUCUAAUACACAUAGACCAUAUGAUGUUGUAUCUGGUGGUGAUCCACAUGCAUCAUCAUCAUUAUGUGAUGAUUCGUAUCCGAUAGCUGGGAGUACAGAUCCUACUGAUAGGCGUAUAUGGAUCCGUCCGGGACCACAGUUAAUGUAAGAUUUUUUAUAAGAUUUUCCGUUUAAUUCUAUAAUAACUUGUAUCCUUGU